rnacentral:rRNA from 1 species
CCUACGGGUGGCAGCAGUCGAGAAUCAUUCACAAUGGGGGAAACCCUGAUGGAGCGACGCCGCGUGGGGGAAUGAAGGUCUUCGGAUUGUAAACCCCUGUCAUGUGGGAGCAAAUUAAAAAGAUAGUACCACAAGAGGAAGAGACGGCUAACUCUGUGCCAGCAACCGCGGUAAUACAGAGGUCUCAAGCGUUGUUCGGAAUCACGGGGCGUAAAGCGUGCGUAGGCUGUUUCGUAAGUCGUGUGUGAAAGGCGCGGGCUCAACCCGCGGACGGCACAUGAUACUGCGAGACUAGAGUGAUGGAGGGGGAACCGGAAUUCUCGGUGUAGCAGUGAAAUGCGUAGAUAUCGAGAGGAACACUCGUGGCGAAGGCGGGUUCCUGGACAUUAACUGACGCUGAGGCACGAAGGCCAGGGGAGCGAAAGGGAUUAGAUACCCUAGUAGUC